rnacentral:rRNA from 1 species
UACGUAGGUGGCAAGCGUUGUCCGGAUUUACUGGGCGUAAAGGGCGUGCAGGCGGUCUGUUAAGUGCAGGGUGAAAGCUCCCGGCUCAACUGGGAGAGGUCCUUGCAUACUGGCGGACUUGAGGGGGGUAGAGGAAAGUGGAAUUCCCGGUGUAGUGGUGAUAUGCGUAGAUAUCGGGAGGAACACCUGUGGCGAAAGCGGCGCACUGGACCACAUCUGACGCUGAGGUGCGAAAGCGUGGGGAGCAAACAGG